CAGUUUCAUACAUUUUCAGUAUCAGAUUAUUUGGCUCCAAUAGAGAGAGAGAAAGAGAGAGAGAUGAAAAUGUCAACUGGGUUCUUCCUCCUCCUCCUUUUGAUGCUCUGUGCAAGUUCAGUUCGUGCGCAGCGCCGGAUAGACUUCAUAAGCAUAGAUUGUGGUUCUCCCUCGAAGCUCUACGAAGACACGGAUACGAACAUAACAUACUCACCGGAUGGAGAUUACAUAGACACAGGGAUAAACCACAACAUCUCUUCUGAAUUUAGUUAUCCAAAGAAUCCCAACCUCCCCUUCCCUCUCUCCGACCUCAGGAGUUUCCCUCAAGGAAACAAAAAUUGCUAUACGUUGAAACCCGAAGCAGGAAAUGGCAGUUUGAAUUUGAUUAGAGCUACCUUCUUGUAUGGAAACUACGAUGGAGAAAACAAGUUGCCGGAAUUUGAUCUCUACCUCGGCGUCAACUUUUGGUCGACGGUGAGGUUUGAAAAUGCUUCAGAUAUUGUUACCAAGGAGAUUUUAGGUUUUGCAGAAUCAAAUACCGUGGACAUUUGUCUAAUAAAUAAAGGGUUGGGAACUCCUUUCAUUUCGGCGUUGGAAUUUAGACCGCUUAAUAGCUCAACUUAUGGUACUGAAUUUGGGACUUCUGCAUCAUUAGUACUCAUUGAAAGACUGGACAUUGGACAAGGCAAUGGAACAGGUCGAUAUGGAGAUGAUGUUUAUGAUCGCAUUUGGUCGCGUCACAUUUCACCUUCUUGGGAUCCAGUUAGUACUUCUUCGUCGAUUACUACCUAUGAGAACGGAUAUAGAGUGCCAUUGGAAGUAAUCCGGACUGCAGCUACACCUCAGAAUGCAAGUGAACCUUUAGAUUUGUACUGGAACACAACUGACAUGAAUGCUCAGUUUUAUGUUUUUAUGUACUUUGCUGAAGUGGAGAAACUUGGGAAGAAUCAGUCAAGAAAAUUCAAUAUAUCAUUGAAUGGUUCUCCAUUGUUUGGACCAUUCACUCCCCGUUACUUACAGGCAGACGUGAUAUCUAAUUCAAGAGUUCUGGUGGGAAAGGAUCACGAAAUUUCUUUACACAAGACAGAGGACUCUUCCCUUCCACCGAUUCUGAAUGCUGUUGAAGUUUUCCAAGUUAUGCAGCUGGUUGAAUCACCUACUUAUGGUGAAGAUGCUGAUGCCAUAAAGAACGUCAAAACUACAUAUCAAAUAAAAAAAAUCUGGGCUGGUGAUCCUUGUGGACCUAGGAAUUUCUCUUGGGAAGGACUAGAAUGCAACUACAGCAUUUCGCUUCCUCGGAUUAUUUCCCUAAACUUGAGUUCAAGCAAUUUGAGUGGGAUAAUAGCUGCUUCCAUUGCCAAUCUCUCAUCACUCGAGUCCUUAGAUUUGUCGAACAAUAACCUAACCGGGCCAGUGCCUCAGUUCUUGGAAGAACUAAAGUCGCUCACUCUCUUGAAUUUGAAGGGCAAUCAAUUGUCUGGUUCGGUUCCAAACGCUCUUCGCGAGAGAUCGGAAGCUGGAUUACUUGUACUGAGUGUGGAUACCAAAAAUCUUUGUGGCUCGGGUUCAUGCAAAAAGAAGAAGAAAAUUGUUGCUCCAAUAGUUGCGUCGUUAGUAGCAGCACUAGCAGUCGUUAUAGUGCUGAUGCUAGUAUGGAAAUUGAGAAGAAAAAGAGAAUCAGGUACAGAAUUAGAACCCUUCAACAAAACAGCUAUAGCAUCAAAGAAGUGCCAGUUUACUCAUGAGGAGGUUUUAGAUAUCACCAAAAACUUACAAACCUCGAUCGGGAAAGGAGGAUUUGGGACUGUGUACCAUGGUUGCAUGAAAGACGGAACCCAAGUUGCGGUAAAAAUGCUUUCUGCAUCAUCAACUCAAGGACCUAGGGAGUUCCAAACAGAGGCUGAGCUCCUGAUGAGAAUCCAUCAUAGAAACUUGGCCUCGUUUAUUGGAUACUGUGAUGAUGCGAACAACUUGGCACUUAUAUACGAGUACAUGGCUAAUGGCAACCUAAAAAACUCUCUCUCAGAUGCAGAAAGGAGUUCACAGAUGACAUGGGAAACGAGACUUCAUAUAGCAAUCGAUGCUGCACAAGCAAUGGCAGCAAAAGCAAGGAACCCCAGAAAGACCCGGAACCCAAAUCUCGUCCGCGGGGUGGGUAAGUUCUCGAGGUCCAAAAUGUACCACAAGCGUGGUCUUUGGGCUCUCAAAGCCAAAAAUGGCGGCGUCUUCCCUCGCCACGAUGCGAAGCCGGCAGCCGAGACCCAGCCUGAGAAGCCGCCCAAGUUCUACCCCGCCGACGACGUCAAGAAACCCCUCGUCAACAAACGCAAGCCCAGGCCCACGAAGCUCAGGGCUAGUAUUACACCAGGGACGGUGCUGAUUGUAUUGGCUGGAAGGUUUAAGGGAAAGAGAGUUGUUUUUCUUAAGCAGCUUUCAUCUGGGCUACUUCUUGUUACUGGCCCCUUUAAAAUUAAUGGUGUUCCUUUGAGACGUGUAAAUCAGUCUUACGUGAUUGCCACUUCUAUCGAUAAGUUUGAUGACAAAUAUUUUGCUAAGGAAGUUGCAAAGAAGAAGGGAGAAGGAGAAUUUUUUGAGGCUGAGAAAGAGUAUCAGAUUAUUUGGCUCCAAGAGCGAGAGAGAGAUAGACAGAUAGAGAGAUGAAAAUGUCAACUGGGUUCUUCCUCCUUUUGAUGCUCUGUGCAAGUUCAGUUCGUGCACAGGACCAGAGAGGAGUAAACUUCAUAAGCAUUGAUUGUGGUUAUCCAUUGAACCACUACAAAGUCAUGGAUGCGAGCAUAACAUACUCACCGGAUGUAGAUUACAUAGACACAGGGAUAAACAAGAACAUCUCUUCUGAAUUUAUGAAUCCAAAUAAUACCGACCUCCCCCCCGCCCCUCUCUUAGACCUCAGGAGUUUUCCCAAGGAAACAAAAAUUGCUACGUGUUGAAACCCGACAAAGGAAAUGACAUUUUGAAUUUGAUUAGAGCUACCUUCUUGUAUGGAAACUACGAUGG